CGCAGAGCUUCUCCAUCUUAAAACCUAGAAACCCUAGCAGAACCUCUAUAAAUGGAUAGUCACCGCCCACCUACCUGCCAUCAUACACUCAGUGAGCAACAUCAAACUUCUCUUCUUUUUCCUCUUUUACUGUUUUUUCCAUUAAUUUUAUUUGCUUUGAUGUAGAAGGAAGAGUCGCUAUGAGGACUCUGUAAAAGAUCAAGCUCAACAGACCGGAUUGCCAGGGGCUCAUGCCUUUGCAUGUCGAUCUCCUUCUUCCCUGAGCCAUCUCUUCUUACAUCUUUCAUUUUUUAUAUCUAUUUUUGUAAACA
rnacentral:lncRNA from 1 species